GCAAGUCGAACGGUGAACACGGAGCUUGCUCUGUGGGAUCAGUGGCGAACGGGUGAGUAACACGUGAGCAACCUGCCCCUGACUCUGGGAUAAGCGCUGGAAACGGCGUCUAAUACUGGAUACGAACCAUGAAGGCAUCUUCAGUGGUUGGAAAGAUUUAUUGGUUGGGGAUGGGCUCGCGGCCUAUCAGCUUGUUGGUGAGGUAAUGGCUCACCAAGGCGUCGACGGGUAGCCGGCCUGAGAGGGUGACCGGCCACACUGGGACUGAGACACGGCCCAGACUCCUACGGGAGGCAGCAGUGGGGAAUAUUGCACAAUGGGCGCAAGCCUGAUGCAGCAACGCCGCGUGAGGGAUGACGGCCUUCGGGUUGUAAACCUCUUUUAGCAGGGAAGAAGCGAAAGUGACGGUACCUGCAGAAAAAGCGCCGGCUAACUACGUGCCAGCAGCCGCGGUAAUACGUAGGGCGCAAGCGUUAUCCGGAAUUAUUGGGCGUAAAGAGCUCGUAGGCGGUUUGUCGCGUCUGCUGUGAAAUCCGGAGGCUCAACCUCCGGCCUGCAGUGGGUACGGGCAGACUAGAGUGCGGUAGGGGAGAUUGGAAUUCCUGGUGUAGCGGUGGAAUGCGCAGAUAUCAGGAGGAACACCGAUGGCGAAGGCAGAUCUCUGGGCCGUAACUGACGCUGAGGAGCGAAAGGGUGGGGAGCAAACAGGCUUAGAUACCCUGGUAGUCCACCCCGUAAACGUUGGGAACUAGUUGUGGGGUCCAUUCCACGGAUUCCGUGACGCAGCUAACGCAUUAAGUUCCCCGCCUGGGGAGUACGGCCGC
rnacentral:rRNA from 1 species